rnacentral:misc_RNA from 1 species
CCACCGCCUGUGGCGUGUGCGCCACCACCACCGCGGCCAUGUUCAUGUUCAUCAUCAGUACCAUCACCACCACCAGUAACACCAUCACAUACAUUUCCACCACCUUCCACUGCAGUCAAUCCUUCUUCUCCACCUGAAAUCAAUCCUCCAAUAGUUUCAAGUCCAUUUCCAUUUCCAUUUUCACCACCAGCACCAUCUUAAUUAGUGUAUGCCAAUAUAUAUGUGCAACUACUCGUACGCCACUAUGACUAGAAUAACAUGGAAAACUUGUUUUCCUCCGUUUGUGUUUAGCAAGUGCCCUAUAUGUAAUAGCCAGUUCAUUAUAUAAUUUCUCUUCCAUUUGUGUUUUUAGUCCUUUUGCUUCUUAGUUAUUUAUCAAUUGUUGCCAAGUUUUGAUGUUCUUUUUCUAUUUUAAUAAAAUUUAAUUGCUUAUAAA